rnacentral:rRNA from 1 species
UACGUAGGGUGCGAGCGUUGUCCGGAAUUAUUGGGCGUAAAGAGCUUGUAGGCGGUUUGUCGCGUCUGCCGUGAAAGUCCGGGGCUCCAACUCCGGAUCUGCGGUGGGUACGGGCAGACUAGAGUGAUGUAGGGGAGACGUGGAAUUCCUGGUGUAGCGGUGAAAUGCGCAGAUAUCGGGAGGAACACCUAUGGCGAAGGCAGCUCGCUGGGACGUUACUGACGCUGAGACGCGAAAGCGUGGGGAGCAAACAGG